rnacentral:rRNA from 1 species
CCUACGGGAGGCUGCAGUGAGGAAUAUUGGUCAAUGGACGAGAGUCUGAACCAGCUAAGUAGCGUGAAGGAUGACUGCCCUAUGGGUUGUAAACUUCUUUUAUAUGGGAAUAAAAUGUUCCACGUGUGGGAUUUUGUAUGUACCAUAUGAAUAAGGAUCGGCUAACUCCGUGCCAGCAGCCGCGGUAAUACGGAGGAUCCGAGCGUUAUCCGGAUUUAUUGGGUUUAAAGGGAGCGUAGGUGGAUUGUUAAGUCAGUUGUGAAAGUUUGCGGCUCAACAGUAAAAUUGCAGUUGAAACUGGCAGUCGUGAGUACAGUAGAGGUGGGCGGAAUUCGUGGUGUAGCGGUGAAAUGCUUAGAUAUCACGAAGAACUCCGAUUGCGAAGGCAGCUCACUGGACUGCAACUGACACUGAGGCUCGAAAGUGUGGGUAUCAAACAGGAUUAGAUACCCGGGUAGUC